UAAUUUUCCGCUGAGUAACGGCACGUGGUACUCAAGCGCGCGCGGCACGUGGACGGUGUCCACUUCCGGUUUACUGACGACGGUUGCCAACUUCGAGGCGGAACUGUCCCCCUACAGCGACUACGCCAGUCUCACGUGCGUGUCGAAUACUGGCACGCAAUUCAUUCUCGGGACAAACUUUGAGAUCUUCUUCCAAGUGUUUAUCGACGUAUAUAUAUGUCUCGACAUCCGGGAAGUAACAUCGGACAGUUAUUAUUACUACGUCGCCACAGAGACAGAUGGUGCAACGGGAGAACAGUUCACCAGCAACCAGACAGCUGCCUGCUCGAAAACCGACUAUGUAACGGCGGUAAACACACGUGUGCUUGUGAAGAAGGGU